UCUUGGUCAUUUAGAGGAAGUAAAAGUCGUAACAAGGUUUCCGUAGGUGAACCUGCGGAAGGAUCAUUACCGAGUGAGGGCCCUCUGGGUCCAACCUCCCACCCGUGUUUAUUUUACCUUGUUGCUUCGGCGGGCCCGCCUUAACUGGCCGCCGGGGGGCUUACGCCCCCGGGCCCGCGCCCGCCGAAGACACCCUCGAACUCUGUCUGAAGAUUGUAGUCUGAGUGAAAAUAUAAAUUAUUUAAAACUUUCAACAACGGAUCUCUUGGUUCCGGCAUCGAUGAAGAACGCAGCGAAAUGCGAUACGUAAUGUGAAUUGCAAAUUCAGUGAAUCAUCGAGUCUUUGAACGCACAUUGCGCCCCCUGGUAUUCCGGGGGGCAUGCCUGUCCGAGCGUCAUUUCUGCCCUCAAGCACGGCUUGUGUGUUGGGCCCCGUCCUCCGAUCCCGGGGGACGGGCCCGAAAGGCAGCGGCGGCACCGCGUCCGGUCCUCGAGCGUAUGGGGCUUUGUCACCCGCUCUGUAGGCCCGGCCGGCGCUUGCCGAUCAACCCAAAUUUUUAUCCAGGUUGACCUCGGAUCAGGUAGGGAUACCCGCUGAACUUAAGCAUAUCAAUAAGCGGAGGAA
rnacentral:rRNA from 1 species